rnacentral:lncRNA from 1 species
ACAUGUUCAAAAUUGUCGAAUUUGUUGAGUCACAUGAGGUGGAGCUGGUUCCAGCCAUUUGGGUGGAGAAUGGCCAGUGCUAUUGGCCUAAUUCACUGAGGGGUAUGGCCCUUCACCUGGCCAUUAAAAACAAGACACCUCCUAACUGUGACUGGGGAAGUUGGGAAGUCUGAACAAUAUUUUUAACAGACAGCUAUGAAGAGGGCAGAAGGAAGGCUAAAGAGGCAGAGACCUGGUCAGACCUCCAGUCAGACGCAGAAAUGUCUGGACAGAAACCACCAAGGCGUAAAAUGAAGAGUGUUUGAAUUGGCUCACCUGGAGGUUGCUUACUGGAUUCAGAAGAGGAGUCUGGCCCACCCCCCAAGCAACGUCUUCCACCUGCCCCCACUGUAAACCUCCCUGUAGUCAUCCCAAACACCACUUUCACCCCUGUUCCAAUCACCACAUUGCCAGCAGCAGCAGCACCACCAUCACCACCACCACAAGGGUCAUAUACAGAGAUGUUGCAAAAUUGGCAGCCGAUGGACGAAGUCCCACCGCUGCGGAGUUGUCAGACGUUCCGAAUUGCCCCCCAGCAAUCAUCAGAACCAGCCCUGCUGAGGGAGGUUUUAACAAAAUUAGAGAUGGUGCUGGACCAGCAAACCACCAUCCUCAGAUUGUUGCAGCUGCGGGAAGACCAGGGACAGCUUUUGGACAUUGAGGAAGGUUUGCUGCCCCUGCAAGACCUUCCACGACUGCUCAGCCUUGAGCAAAGGAUUCAGCAGAGCCCAGAUUACAAGCAAAAACUGAUAAACUGUUUGGGGCUUAUUGGUGGGGCAGACGUGCGCAACUGCACCUGGCGCAUAUUAAAGAGGUUGAUUGCCAACUCUCUGGCGAAGAACCUUAAUUGGAGAAGAGUCAAUGGAAAGACUUCAGUGGCCACUCUUCAACUCCGAGAGGUUGUGAUUGGUAAGGAGACAGUAUCCCCCGAUUUUACAGACAAGUCUUAAGCCUAGUCCCGGACUAAAAUGUAAUUCUGAGCUAUUUCAACUGAAAGAAACUUGUACUGACUGAUCUUUAAAUAUAUCAGUGCCUUUGUUUUGUCUCAAGCUGCAUAACAAUUAUUUUUUUAUUAAGUCACAUUUAUAAAAAAAAUUGCUUAGAUGUCCUAAUUGAACUAUGGACUAAUCCUGACUUAGUCUAAGCCCUGACUGUGAAACCAGGCCUAUAUAUGUUUACAUACAAAGUUAGCUAUUUCUGUAGUGGGUACGAGUAAAUGCAGUUUACUUGCUAACACAUUUGCAGUUGUUAUUAUAAUUUUUUUUCUA